GACGAACGCUGGCGGCGUGCCUAAUACAUGCAAGUCGAGCGAACUUGCGGGAGCUUGCUCCCAAAAGUUAGCGGCGGACGGGCGAGUAACACGUGGGCAACCUGCCUAUAAGACUGGGAUAACUUCGGGAAACCGGAGCUAAUACCGGAUAAUUCUUUUCUACACAUGUAGAAAAGCUGAAAGACGGUUUACGCUGUCACUUAUAGAUGGGCCCGCGGCGCAUUAGCUAGUUGGUGAGGUAACGGCUCACCAAGGCCACGAUGCGUAGCCGACCUGAGAGGGUGAUCGGCCACACUGGGACUGAGGCACGGCCCAGACUCCUACGGGAGGCAGCAGUAGGGAAUCUUCCGCAAUGGACGAAAGUCUGACGGAGCAACGCCGCGUGAGUGAUGAAGGUUUUCGGAUCGUAAAACUCUGUUGUUAGGGAAGAACAAGUACGAGAGUAACUGCUCGUACCUUGACGGUACCUAACCAGAAAGCCACGGCUAACUACGUGCCAGCCGCCGCAGUAA
rnacentral:rRNA from 1 species